UGUACGUCGGUGUUUGCCCCUCUCAGCCAUACUGUGCACUCGGGGACAGCCAGACACAUCAGUAAACAUGUGUCUCCACAGCGCUGCAGCAGCAGGGGUUCUGUACACAGUGUGUAUCACCUGGCUGUUGUAUCUGAUGCUGAAGAGGACACAAUGCCAGGCCCCUUCCCUCUUUGUGUUCUGGAUCCAACACUUCAUCACAAAGAGCAAAUCUGGUUACCAUUACAGCUCGGGACACAGCUGCAGUUAAUCUCAUUUUGGUUGAGUUCUAAUAAAAGUGUAAGUAUUAGGACCAGUGGUUGAACACCUGGUCCGUUUUGGCAAGGAGGGUUGUGGAGCUGCGGUCAUCAACAUUGGCCCAAAUCACACUGAGCUCUGAGUCAACCCAGAUUCAUAAAAAAACAAAACAAAAAAAAAACAUUUACGUAACUCAGAGUUGAACUGGACUGAUGCUAAAGAGGCCAGGACUGACCUCGUUCACACUGACAGGAGUGUACAACCUGUCUUAUACACAUCGUUUUCAAAAUGUUGUAUUUGUUAAACAAUGCCACUCAAAUGAGGGCUGGUAAAUUGUUUCUAUUUUUUCAGUCUUACUUUGUCGACAGUGAUAUGUUGGGGUUCCUUUCUUGUGACAAAUGUAAUUAUUGUGAGUUGCUUUGGACAAAAGUGUCUGCUAAAUGCCCCACGUGUAAAUUGUAAAUGAGCGGUGAAGGAUAACUUUACAGAUUUAACACAUGACAUUUUGUUUAACGGUCUUGGGGAGUUUAACUGCACAUGUGAAAAAGGUAGUAUGAAGCCUUUUCUGGCUCCAGAGGAGGCUGCAUGUAAUCUAAUAAAUUGCCUCCAGUGAUGUCACUCAGUUGCUAAAUUGCAUUGUGGGGAAUGUAGGCACCAGGUUUUCAAAGAAUGAUCUGUUAUACUACUGGAAUCAGAGAUUUCAAAAUCUGAUACCUGCACUACCCACAAUCCAAUUUAGCCACUGACUGACAUCACUGAAGGAUAUCUGUCACAUUGCAUCAUUGCAGCUUCCUCUGGAGCAAUUAAAGGCUUAAUACUACUUUUUUCACAUAUGCAGUAGAACUCCACAAGACCUGUAAACACACUUCAAUGUGUGAAAUGAGUAGAGCUGUCCUUUAAUCCUGUUCCUGGGGAUACAACCUACAAAUAUAUCCAAGCAUAUAAUGUAUUAUGUAUUUGCCUGUAAUGCGUGUGCGAUCUACAGUGUCAGAUUUCACUUCCUUUUUUACACCUUCAAGAUGAACUCUUGACCUCACCUUGUGCAGGAUAUCAGGUCUGUCUUGACAUACAGCCCAAAGAUUUUACAGCCAUUGUUCCUAAAGAUGCUGAUAGAAAAUCUUGCCCACCCAUCAGUCACCAAACUGCUCAUACAUUCAGCAUCUGGUUAACUCUUCUUAAAGACAUCUCUCCGGUGCUCGCAAACACUCCCACACGUUUCCAAAAGCUGGUCCCUCCGCAUCAGAUAUGCUCUCGACAAUUUAGCGGAAAGCAAAAGGAGGUCCUGUUAGCGGCUCCUGGCUGGCCUUCAGCUGCUCACCGCUGCUGGAUCAGACACCAUUAGUAUGAAACACCGGCUCACACAGACAACCGGCUUAAUUAGAAGUUGAGGAUUUGGUACGUGCAGCCUCAUAGCCACAGCGUUCAGGCUCCUGUUUUACAUCUGCGAACCCACUGUCUGUCUCAAGCAGCCGUGCCACCAAUCACUGCCAGGACUCAUCACCACAGCAACAAAACGGUGGAGGAAAUGCUGGAGAUUGUUUUGUCGAUAAUAACAAUAAAACUAAUAACAUCAUCA